GAUGAACGCUGACAGAAUGCUUAACACAUGCAAGUCGAUGGGGAAGUGGUGCUUGCACCAUGGUAACCAUGGCGGACGGGUGAGUAACGCGUAAGGAACUUACCUGCGGGACCGGGAUAACAGCAGGAAACUGCUGACAAGACCGGAUAAGGUCAUUAAGCUGCAUAGCUUAGUGAUGAAAGGAGACGCCUGCGGAGAGCCUUGCGUCCUAUUAGCUAGUUGGAGGGGUAACGGCCCACCAAGGCGAAGAUAGGUAGCCGGCCUGAGAGGGUGGACGGCCACAAGGGGACUGAGAUACGGCCCUUACUCCUACGGGAGGCAGCAGUGGGAAAUAUUGGACAAUGGGGGCAACCCUGAUCCAGCAAUUCUGUGUGCACGAAGACGGUUUUCGGAUUGUAAAGUGCUUUCAGCAGGGAAGAAGGAAGUGACGGUACCUGCAGAAGAAGCGACGGCUAAAUACGUG
rnacentral:rRNA from 1 species